rnacentral:rRNA from 1 species
UACAGAGGGUGCAAACGUUGUUCGGAAUUACUGGGCGUAAAGCGCGUGUAGGCUGCUUCGCAAGUCGGAUGUGAAAGCCCUGGGCUCAACCCAGGAAGUGCAUUCGAAACUGCAGAGCUGGAGUCCUGGAGAGGAAGGCGGAAUUCUCGGUGUAGAGGUGAAAUUCGUAGAUAUCGAGAGGAACACCGGCGGCGAAGGCGGCCUUCUGGGCUGACCCUGACGCUGAGGCGCGGAAGCGUGGGGAGCGAACUGA